AUUUAACUCUUCAUAGUACCAAGUUGUUGGGCAAGAUUAGAAUCGAGACAGACCUGGUCCUUGUUCUCCUCCUCGGGGAUUCCAACAGCCAAAAUGAGGCAACCAGAAAUCAGGGCUACAGGCAGGUGGUUUUGAUUUUUCUCUCAUCAGGGUGGCAGGAGGCCGACAUUGGGAGAUCAAUUGUGCUCAACACAAAUUCUCAUGGCAUAGAUGAUCAUUUUGCUGGUGAAUAAUGGCAAGAAAUGGCACUCUGUGCUGGUCCACAUUCAUCACUGGGUAACAAACAAUUAAGGAACUUUUUUCUGUUCACUCUUCUUCCAUGAUUAAACAACCCACGAACACAGUGCACUUGACUUGGAGGCGUUUGUUUCACGUAAAAUAUUUUUUUAGGGAAAAUAUUUUGUGUGUUUUACAGUGUUCUUCUCUUUAGAAAAACGAUAAAACAUUUUCAGUCAGGGGAAGGGGAGGAAAAUGACAAAAAAAUAAUAAUCUCGCUCGUGUCUAUCCCUUCCUCUCCUUCUGCCUCUUCUCUCUUAUUUCUUGGAGCUCAGAAUCUAACCAUUGAAAAGAGAUCAGCAAGUCUUCAUUCUCCACUCCAGGAGGAGCAACCAGGAUUGGAUCUUCUGUUAGAGGAGGUCACGAGACAGGCGGAACAGGUCCAUCAAAUAUCCAAGGAGAUCAUUAGUUUAGGACUCUACUUUGUCAAGCUUAUGUAAAUAUUUAACUUAAACAAAAGGGAAUUAACGCGUUGAUGUAGUAUGCUUUUGUGUAAACCUUGAUGUAUUUCUAAAAGUUCAGCUUAGCAUGUAGUACUUUAGUUAUCUUGUAAUUAACCCUUUUGAAAUGUUUAAGAACACUUAUUAUGUUGUAAUGCUUUCUUUGCAUGUUAG